rnacentral:rRNA from 1 species
CAGUCGCCACGGUAAUACGGAGGGUGCAAGCGUUGUCCGGAUUUAUUGGGUUUAAAGGGUGCGUAGGCGGCUAUUUAAGUCAGCGGUGAAAGACUCCGGCUCAACCGGAGCAGUGCCAUUGAUACUGGAUAGCUUGAGUGUUGGAGGGGUACAUGGAAUUGAUGGUGUAGCGGUGAAAUGCAUAGAUACCAUCAGGAACACCGAUAGCGAAGGCAUUGUACUGGCCAACAACUGACGCUGAGGCACGAAAGCAUGGGGAGCGAACAGGAUUAGAUACCCGCGUAGUCCCUGUCUCUUAUAC